GGAAUUUUGCGCAAUGGGCGAAAGCCUGACGCAGCAACGCCGCGUGAGUGAUGAAGGCCCUCGGGUCGUAAAGCUCUGUCAGAGGGGAAGAACCACCUGAAGGAUAAUACCCUUCAGGCCUGACGGUACCCCCCCAGGAAGCACCGGCCAACUCCGUGCCAGCAGCCGCGGUAAUACGGCGGGUGCAAGCGUUGUUCGGAAUUAUUGGGCGUAAAGCGCGUGUAGGCGGCUGUUUAAGUCUGAUGUGAAAGCCCCGGGCUCAACCCGGGAAGUGCAUUGGAAACUGGACAGCUUGAGUACGGGAGAGGGUAGUGGAAUUCCGAGUGUAGGGGUGAAAUCCGUAGAUAUUCGGAGGAACACCGGUGGCGAAGGCGGCUACCUGGACCGAUACUGACGCUGAGACGCGAAAGCGUGGGGAGCAAAC
rnacentral:rRNA from 1 species